GUUCUCAUAGUUGAACAAACAACAAUGGUUUUUCAGACCAUAGAUCCUGGAUAUAGGCUGGGUGAGAACU
rnacentral:tRNA from 1 species